UACGAAGGGGGCUAGCGUUGUUCGGAAUCACUGGGCGUAAAGCGCACGUAGGCGGAUCUUUAAGUCAGGGGUGAAAUCCCGAGGCUCAACCUCGGAACUGCCUUUGAUACUGGGGAUCUCGAGUCCGGGAGAGGUGAGUGGAACUGCGAGUGUAGAGGUGAAAUUCGUAGAUAUUCGCAAGAACACCAGUGGCGAAGGCGGCUCACUGGCUCGAUACUGACGCUGAGGUGCGAAAGCGUGGGGAGCAAACAGG
rnacentral:rRNA from 1 species